rnacentral:sRNA from 1 species
CCCGACUGAGAAUUUGUUAAAAAAAAAAUCCUGCAUGGUGAAUCCCCCUGAGCGGCGGGGCAUAUCAGCGUCACAGGUGUUUCUGUUUUACCUCUAUCCUUUCUGUGCGGGUUCAGGUGCUGAUACUGAACUCACCGGGAGGCACCCGGCACCAUGCAUGAACGGUACAUAGCGCAUACAUCAGCCCCUCUCCGGAGGGGCUUUCUUGUGGGC